rnacentral:piRNA from 1 species
UGGUAUAGAUGUUUUUUUACC